GGUGACGCAUUUUCAAUGGCUCUUUGAAUUACCAUAAUUCCUGAACGGUUUGCUCUAUUUUAAAAAUUCCAACAGUUUCUUGAAGCUGAUACAUUGUGCUUUCUUGUCAAUAUUUGGUAAUUACGGUAAUUUUACCCAGAAGCCUGCAGGAGGUCCCUGUGUUUACCGGUGUGACAGACGAGGCGGUGGAGAGAUGCAGAGAACGGAGCGGUCGAAAAAGUUUUUACAGCGGCAAAAACACAAGAAAAAUGUCUGAAAAUGACCAUCCCGGGAAACAUAUCCUUCAUGGAGGUUCAGAGAAGACUUUGAGACCGAAGGAGCAACGGAAGGAGCCAUUAUUGGCAAGAAAAGGUGUCCUGUGGGAGUCUGUGAGCUGCAGCUGAUGAUGCUGGAGGACUAAAGAUGAGGAAACAUCAGGAGGCUGGAGGUUCUGCUGAUGUGUUCAGAGACCAAAGCUGCUCAUAAAAUCAACAACAGUGGAAGACAGAUGCAGAACCUGAUGAAAGACCCUCAUCCACUGAGAUUCAACCCCAGACAGAUCCCAUGUGUCCAAACAUCUCUAAAUGCAGGAAAACAUCACCAGGUGAAAUCUUUUCCCACUGCAGAAUCUGCACCAGGAGCCCUUCCUGGAAGUUGGACUCUUGACUGUCACUGGCAGCAUCACCAAGACCUUUGAGGUGCCAAGGAGGACAGAACUGCCCUGUGUGACCAAAAACGCCUGGAGAUAUUUAACAAUUUAUGCACUGUUUUUUUGCACAAUUAGACAGAAACAUGCAUGAAUGCUGUUGUAAACAGUUUGAUACUGGACAAAUUCAAAUUUUUAACAAACAAAAUCUGUUGUCCAUAUACAUUUGUACUGUCUUUCUCACUAAAAACAAAAAAUCAAUUUUUUUUUUUUUUUUUUUUUUUUACCAUUUAAAAUCAUCUAACACAUUAUGGAAUAAAAUAAAUUGUAAAAUGAUGAUAUAUAUUGAAGAUUCAAUGUCUUCUGGGGAGAAAAGGGUAAAAGCGCACAUUUGUAGGCCAUUCUCUGAUCCUUUAUAGUCAAAUUUAGCAGAAAAGUUGAGGCGGAAAUUUUGACCCUUAGGCCUUAAAGGGUUAACAGAGAAUUUCUGGAGGUAUUAUCAUAAAGCUUUAGCAGUUUCUAAACGGAGUUCCCUUCCAACUUUGUGUCUACAUUUUUCCAAGUGUUUGUGUGCAAACUUUUAGAGGCAGAAGAAAAAACUAAAAAAGGAUGUUAUGUGAUUAUUAAAACUUCCCUGUGUUGGGUAACUUUAAAAAAAAGUAAUUGAUUACUUUACUUUAGCUACUGGAUGAAAUUGUACUAACAUUACUUUACUCAUUACUCAUUAUAAAAAGUAAUUUACUACUAGUUACUUUACUUUUUUCCUGCCAUGAACAAAUUCUCAAGGGAAAAUCGCAUCACCAAGAUCCUUUUGUCUUUCACUCAAAUUGUUUUUUAAAUCAAUGUCGUCGUACAAACUAUGAGCAUGGUUUAAGACAUAACCUGACUUCAUUAGAAAUCAGCAGAGUGAAUAAUCACACAAAUCUCAAGUAUAUGUGGUCUAUACCACCACUCAAAGCGGCAUGUGGAAAAAACCAACUGUUUAAUACCUCCUGCAGUUUCUUUCUCCUCCUCAAAUGUAGAAAGUCAUUCUGACGAUAGGGGGCGUGGCUAGUGAUGGUGGUUCCAGCUCUUUUUAGAGAACAGGAUUCAUUUUGCUAAAAAGAAUCAUCUCUUUCAGCUUCUAAGUGCCACUUCGGAUUGUUUUGUUGCUUCAUUAUAAUCAGAAAUAUAAAAUUAUGCACAAAAUGAAUUGGUAUAACUACUACUAAUAAUAAUGCCUUUUAUUUAUGAAUGUUGAGUAUAUGUAGAUGCAUUUAUUUAUUAACUUCAGAUAAAAUAUAAUAGGAAUAAUGACAAAAUGUCUUCUAUUACCAUUCAACUUUUGACUUGAUACAUUUUUUUUUAUUUAAAGUGAAACAACCUAUUUCUGUAUCUGUUGCUCCCUUGUGCAUGUGUGCUCCCUAUGCAGCUUCAGGUUUUGCAAGCCAAUAUCAACAUUAAUCCAUUACAUGAAAUAGCUAUGAAUCUCUGAACUGGACACAAAUGUUAGAAGUGCAUAUAAAAUCUUGUUAUGCUAAUGUCAAAUAUAUGUGAAACACAUUUUGAAUAAUGUGUACUUUAAACAAGAUAUAGCAAAGGAAGAUGUGUUAAAAUGUUAUUUCCCACAUAUCGGCUUCAUUUUAGAAUUUUUUUUAGAAAAUAUUUGCCAAGUCAUUGUGCUUUCUAUAUGUCUGCUGCUUGGAUCAGAAAUCGCAGUUGAAGAAGAAUGGUCUAAUUUCAGCAGCUAAAACAAAUGUUUGUAUUUUAUAAAAGAUUCACAUGACUGAGAAAACAUUUUUAUGGUCAGAUUUCAUAAGUCUCAGACUACAAAGUGUACCAGUUUUAUAAACCUGUAAUCAAAACCCUUUGCACAAUCACAAGAGACACACAUGUCUUAUCUAAACUCAUCUGAGAUAUUUUUUGUGUCAAAUCACAUAAGAGCAUUCUAGAAUUGUUUUCGCUUGACAGUGGGGAAUCAAUACAAAACAGUGUUUGUCCCAAAGUUUAUGAGAAGAUGAUCUUUUGAGAGGCACCAAAGUUGUUUACAUUGAAAAUGAUUGACAUGUGAGAAGAGGUAAUGCAGUUAGAAAAUUAAAGUCAAUUAAAAAAAAAGUUUUACAAUUAAAAAAAUAUAAAAA